UGUCUGGGCAAUAUAGUAAUACCCCAUCUCAAAAAAAAAAUUUUUUUUUUUUUGAGACAGUCUCACUUUGUCACCCAGGCUAGAGUGCAGUGCUGCAAUCUCUGCUCACUGCAACCUCUGCCACCUAGGUUCAAGCGAUUCUCCUGCCUCAGCCUCCCAAGUAGCUGGGAUUACAGGCUCCUGCCACUGUGCCUGGCUAAUUUUUGUAGUUUUUAUAGAGAUGUGGUUUCACCAUUUUGGCCAGGCUGGUCUUGAACUCCUGGCCUUGUGAUCCACCUGCCUUAACGUCCCAAACUGCUGGGAUUAUAGGCAUGAGCCACCACGUCUGGCCAAAAAAAAUUUUUUAAAGUAGCUGAGUGUGGUGGCAUGGGCUUGUAUGUAGUCCCAACUGCUAGGGAGGCUGAGGCAGGAGGAUUACUUGAGCCCAGGAGGUGGAGACUGCAGGAGUCAUGAUGGUGCCACCGUGCUCCAGCCUGGGCAACAGAGUAAGAGCCUAUGUCAAAAAUAAAAGGAAGUAUCAAGGGAGAUGAUUACACAGUGCCUGGCACACUGUAGGUCUCCAAAAAAUAAACCUUUUCUAUCCAUCAGUUUCCUCUUCUCUCCAGCAUGAAAUUGCGUAUGUAAAGUUGAAAAGAAAAAAGAGAGAGAGAAUCUUUCAAAAAGGUGGUAAUGUUGGUGGCAUUGUGGUUGUUUAAAACAAACAAACAAACAAACAAAAAACCUUGGGGGAAAUACAGAGAAAGCCCCAAGGCAGUCCUUCCAAAAAGCUGAAAGUGCUUUGCUUUGUCUGGAAUUGUGACCGAGUUUUCCCUGUUAGAAAAGUCUGUGGUUAGAAGCUUCCUGUUAAGCCAGCUUCCUGGUAAGAAGGUGGAACCGUUGUUUCUUCUGUGUGACGGGUUCCCUCUGCCGUUUCUGUAGGUUGCCUCCCUGUGGUCGUUUACUGUGGUGGGUCCAGACUCAAAACCAGGUUUGGGGCCACCAUCAUCAUAUUUGUGUCCCCCACCCCAAGAUUCUUAUGUCGACACCCUAGUCCCCAAGAUGAUGAUAUUAGCAGGUAGGGCUUUUAGGAGGUGAUGAGGUCAUGAGGGUGGGUCCUCAUGAAUGGGAUCAGUGUCUUUAUAAAAGGGACCCCAGGGAGCUCCCUCGCCCCUUCCACUAUAUGAGGACACAGCAAGAUAGCACUGUUAAUUAGGAAGCUGGUCUCUGCCAGAUGCUGAAUCUUCCACACCUUCAUCUUGGACUUCCAGCCUCCAGGACUGACAGCAGUAAAUGUCUAUUGUUUCUAAGCCUUGGUCUACUGUGUUUUGUGAUGGCAGCCCAAAUGGAUUUAGAUGGGGCUCUAUUCACCCCAUGCAGCAGGGUCCAUGGAAAGGCAGCUGUGAUGAGAUGAUCCAUCAUUACCUCUUUCAUGCAGACUGAACAUCUCUGCUUUUCUGUUCUGUUCUCUUCCACUUUUUCAUGCUAUAUUUUCUCAGCAUUAUUCCUCUUGUUUCUGGCCUCUUUUGAAGUCUUCUUUUCCAGGGAUCUGCAUUUCCCCCAUCCUCUUGAACAAGAAACUACUGGCCCUGGGUCUCCUUACCUUGCCUCCCACGUGUUGCUCAUCUCCUUGGAGAUGGAAACUGAAGAAGAGGAAGAAAUUUUAACAUGAAGAGGAACAUAGAACACACAGAUCCCGAGAGAUGGAGAAAGCCAACCCAGUGGCUCAGGGAGACAGCUGGGAGGGGAAAUGGGGAGGACUGCUGAAUAGAAUAUCCAGUCUCCUUUGGGGGCGAUAAACAUAUUUUGGAACUAGAUUGAGAUGACAGUUGUACAACACUGUGAAUAUGCUAAAUGUCACUAGAUGGUCAAUUUUAAAAUGAUUCAUUUUAUGUUAUAGUGAAUUUCACCUUGAUGGGAAAGAAGAUAAAGAGGAAGCUGGUGGCUCGAGCCUGUAAUCCCAGGACUGUGCAAGGAAAGAGACAGAGUUUGACGCUACUGGUGGCCAGGUCUUGCAGAGCAUGGUGGCAGACUUUUUUUUUUUGUUAUCGAGUCUAGCUCUGUCGCCCAGGCUGGAGUGUAGUGGCGUGAUCUCAGCUCACUCCAACCUCCACCCCCCAGUUCAAGUGAUUCUCCUACCUCAGUCUCCUGAGCAGCAGGGACUACAGAUGCCUGCCACCACACCCGGCUAAUUUUUGUCUUUUUGGUAGAGACGGGGUUUCACCAUUGAGAUCAUGAGUGGUGGGAUUCUUGGUCUUCUUGUUCUGUUUUGGAGAUGGAAGCCACAGGAGCCCCUUCGAGAAUGAAUGUAGGGUGUAACUGUAUUAGUUUGCUCUGACUGUCAUAACAAAAUACCACAGACUGAGUGACUUAUUUAAUAGAAAUUAAUUUUCCCACAGUCCUGGAGGCUGGAAGUCUGAGAUCAAGGUGUGGGCAGGCCUGGUUCCUCCUAAGGCCUCUCUCUUGGGCUUGUAGAUGCUAUCUUCUCCCUGUGUCCUCACAGGGCCAUCCCUCCAUUCGCCUUUGUGUCCUUAUCUCCUCUUUUUUAAUUUUUAUUUUUUUAGAGACAGGAUUUUGCUCUGGCCCAGCCCAGAGUUCAGUGGUGCUAUCAUAGCUCACUGCAGCCUUGGCUUCCUGGGCCCAAAGCAACGCUCCCACCUCAGCCUCUUGAAUAGCUGGGACCACAGGUGUGCACCACCAUGCUCAGCUUUUGUAUAUAUAUUUUUCCUAGAGAUGGAGUCUCCCAAUGUUGCCUAGGCUGGUCUCAAAUCCUGGCCUCAAGAAAUCCUCCUGCCUCAGCCUCCCAAAGUGCUGCGAUUACAGGUUUCUGGAAUUUUCCUGAAGCAUUGCAUGCUGAUACAGAUUCUGAGCUGGUGCUUUGACUGUCACAAGCCAGAGGGUCCUAGAAGAAGUAGAAUCAUAACUGAGGAAAACUUAGGAAACCCCAUCCGUUCUGCCUUUCAAAGGUCUUCAGGGCAGCGCCACGUUUCACCACCUGAUUUUGGUGUUUCAC
rnacentral:lncRNA from 1 species